CGGGGCAUCGUAUAUUGGUAGUACGCUUGGUUUGGGACCAUGUAGGCUGAGUUCGAUUCUCAGUGCCCCGAC
rnacentral:tRNA from 1 species